GUGCACCUCUCUUUCACUCUUCAUCUCCCUCUCUCUAAAUCGCCCUAGUUGUUCUUUCGCUUCCGUCCCAGAUCCGUCGCCGCUACUAAUUCUGGCUGAUUUCCGGCAAUUUUUUCGCCUGAUCUCGAUUCCACUGGUGGUGGAGAUCGAUAUUUGCAAAUUCCUAUGCAUGCCAAUCUCUUACUUCGACGCCGCUUUGUUGGUCGGUGAUUUUUGAUGACUAUCGCAGAUGAGAGCUGAGAUGUCAAGUGUAUCUGUCUCCACUCGCAGUGGCAAUCUGCUGCAGUUAAUCAAGGAGAUGAGAUUCUGAAGAGGUCAAGGUGAUAAACGCGGCUAACACGGAAAAUAGUGUGUUGAAGGAAAGGUUCGUUCGAGUCAUCUCUUAUUUCUAGACCAUUUGUGAGAAGGGAAUUCCUGUUUGCACUAUUGACACCCCCUGGUGUAGGUAUUUACCCUAACCUUUUAAAACACAAUCCUAGCUCCUAGAUAGUUCAGUUUAACGAUUCCCUUUACCCUUAUUCCAUAUUCUCUUUAGACAUUAGGUUUAGUUUCUUGUGGAGUUCUAGAUUUUCUUGGCGCAUGAGAUUAGUGAGUUUUGACACGCACACACAGACACAAAGGAAAGUCUGUUCUAAGAUAGUUGCAUCACUAGAAGCCCUCCUUUUGGUUCAGUUCUUCUGUUUCUUCCAAUUAAAAUCUGAUCUUACAGAAGUGAAAAGAAAAGAAAGAGCACACCCACUGUUUUGGCAAAAUUCACAAACAUGACUGAUUUGUCAUGGCAUCCAAACAUUUUUUCGUUUCCAAAUUCUUUGAAUCUAUUACCACUUAGGCCAGAAAGCUCGUACUCGGUCCAUUUGCCUGUCAGGUAUUCAGUAUGAGACUAUUUGUUUCUUAAAAUGCAUUUGACAAAUUUCUUCAGCUAUAUACGUUCCUAUAAUACAUAAUAAAAUCCGGGGAGGUGUUUGGUUAUUCCCUUCUCAUGAAUGGUCUAGAUAUGCGCGGUGACUCUGAAAAAUGCUGAGGUUGAGACCGUGAGUUUUGGUCAGUGUAUUAUCAGCAUCCAGCAUCUCAUGGUGUUCGGCACAGGUAAUAAAUACUGAGACUAGGUAAGCACUUUUCCAGCUUUAGAACUUGCUAGGGCUGGACACCUGUUUUCAGUGAUAAUCGAUUUUUUUUGUCAUUGCAUGUUUGUAGGAUCUUUUUAGGGAGUCCUGGUAAGAUAGUUUUACUAGUAAUGCAUACAUAACUCGGGUAAACGUUGCAUCUACUCUGCCGUUGUUCGUUUCAUCCCUGAAGUCCUAACCUCUUUCCGCAUUUAUCUUUCAUGUUUUAUUACGUCGUCUUCUGUUCCUAGCUGUUGUUUUCGAAACACACGGCACGUGAUGUAACGUAUUCGGAGUUUCUUGCAAGUUAUGUAGCUGCUGCUUCAGUUCAGAACUAGAAUAUAGAACAAAUUACGUUUAGGGGAUUUACCAGAGAAUAAUAAUAAUAUGUGAAACUGAGAGAAUGAUUCUGAUAGGAUAUCAAGAGGAGCCAAAAGAAGGGUCAUGGGCGUAAAGGAAACAAGAGUAACAGGGAAAGAAGAUAUGCAUAAGGUGGAGCAAUUGAUGGAGGUAUGGUCACGUGAGGGAUGUUGGAUUAGGUUCAUUGUAUCAACACAUUGUAUGUGUGGGUAUAUCCUCUUAGUGCCAGCUCAGCAGGUUUGUUGUGGGUAGCUUAUAUUAGACGUGCAGAUUGGGUAUUAGGGUUUAUGCUUUUGCUCAUUUGAAUGUGUAAGGAGAGGGGUGAGAGAGAAGCUCACAAUAAUCAACUUCUUGGGGUUGUAUUUGGUUUUCUGGAAAUCAAUACAACAUAUCGGUUCUUGUUCUUGUUCU